AUUUAAUGACUUUCUCCCAUUCUCCUGCUGCUCCUUGCUACAAAGCCCUGUUAUUUAAACCUUGCCCCAAUGAGUUUUGCUGAGGUUGUGAACUGCUUUGCUCUCAGUUGUUGAAACGUCACCCUCAAGCCAGAUUGGGUGGUGGACAAGAAGCUGCGAGUACCAUCAAGUGUCACCCCUUCUUCCGCUCUAUUAACUGGGACGAUCUUUAUUCUAGAAAAGUGGAGCCCCCAUUUAAACCAAACAUUACCGGAGAGGAGGAUGUUAGUCAGUUUGAUAGUAAAUUUACCAGACAGACACCCGUCGAUUCACCGGUGGAUUCAAUGUUGAGCGAGAGUGCAGAUAAAAUAUUUCAGGGCUUCACAUAUGUAGCACCUUCAGUUAUGGAUUCAUUAAAUAGAGAAAUACCCAUGUCUCCUUGGAGAUACACAAGGUAUUA